AUGAACGCUGGCGGCGUGCCUAAUACAUGCCAGUCGAGCGAACAGACGAGGAGCUUGCUCCUCUGACGUUAGCGGCGGACGGGUGAGUAACACGUGGAUAACCUACCUAUAAGACUGGGAUAACUUCGGGAAACCGGAGCUAAUACCGGAUAAUAUAUUGAACCGCAUGGUUCAAUAGUGAAAGACGGUUUUGCUGUCACUUAUAGAUGGAUCCGCGCCGCAUUAGCUAGUUGGUAAGGUAACGGCUUACCAAGGCAACGAUGCGUAGCCGACCUGAGAGGGUGAUCGGCCACACUGGAACGGAGACACGGUCCAGACUCCUACGGGAGGCAGCAGUAGGGAAUCUACCGCAAUGGGAGAAAGCUUGACGGAGCAACGCCGCGUGAGUGAUGAAGGUCUUCGGAUCGGAAAACUCUGUUAUUAGGGAAGAACAAAUGUGUAAGUAACUAUGCACGUCUUGACGGUACCUAAUCAGAAAGCCACGGCUAACUACGUG
rnacentral:rRNA from 1 species